UACGGGGGGGGCAAGCGUUGUUCGGAAUUACUGGGCGUAAAGGGCUCGUAGGCGGCCAACUAAGUCAUACGUGAAAUCCCUCGGCUUAACCGGGGAACUGCGUCUGAUACUGGAUGACUUGAGUUCGGGAGAGGGAUGCGGAAUUCCAGGUGUAGCGGUGAAAUGCGUAGAUAUCUGGAGGAACACCGGUGGCGAAGGCGGCAUCCUGGACCGAUACUGACGCUGAUGAGCGAAAGCCAGGGGAGCAAACGGG
rnacentral:rRNA from 1 species